GGGGGCCCGCAAGCGGUGGAGCAUGUGGUUUAAUUCGAAGCAACGCGCAGAACCUUACCAGCCCUUGACAUGGGCGUCGCGGGUGGGGAGACCCACCCUUCGGUUCGGCCGGACGCCGCACAGGUGCUGCAUGGCUGUCGUCAGCUCGUGUCGCGAGAUGUUGGGUUAAGUCCCGCAACGAGCGCAACCCCCAUCCUCAGUUGCCAGCAUGUAAUGGUGGGCACUCUGGGGAAACCGCCGGUGACAAGCCGGAGGAAGGCGGGGAUGACGUCAAGUCCUCAUGGCCCUUAUGGGCUGGGCUACACACGUGCUACAAUGGUGGUGACAGUGGGCAGCGAGAUCGCGAGAUCGAGCCAAUCUCCAAAAGCCAUCUCAGUUCGGAUUGCACUCUGCAACUCGGGUGCAUGAAGUUGGAAUCGCUAGUAAUCGCGGAUCAGCACGCCGCGGUGAAUACGUUCCCGGGCCUUGUACACACC
rnacentral:rRNA from 1 species